AGUGGACGCUGGCGGUAGGCCUAACACAUGCAAGUCGAAUGGCAGCACAGUAAGAGCUUGCUCUUACGGGUGGCGAGUGGCGGACGGGUGAGGAAUACAUCGGAAUCUACUUUUUCGUGGGGGAUAACGUAGGGAAACUUACGCUAAUACCGCAUACGACCUACGGGUGAAAGCAGGGGAUCUUCGGACCUUGCGCGAUUGAAUGAGCCGAUGUCGGAUUAGCUAGUUGGCGGGGUAAAGGCCCACCAAGGCGACGAUCCGUAGCUGGUCUGAGAGGAUGAUCAGCCACACUGGAACUGAGACACGGUCCAGACUCCUACGGGAGGCAGCAGUGGGGAAUAUUGGACAAUGGGCGCAAGCCUGAUCCAGCCAUACCGCGUGGGUGAAGAAGGCCUUCGGGUUGUAAAGCCCCUUUGUUGGGAAAGAAAAGCAGCAGGUUAAUACCCCGCUGUUCUGACGGUACCCAAAGAAUAAGCACCGGCUAACUUCGUG
rnacentral:rRNA from 1 species